AAAUAGAACUUUGUAGAGAGAGUUAACAGGGCGUGAAACCGUUAAUUGGCAAACGAAUCGGAGCCACGAAGUCGUUUCGUUGAAUUUUGGUUGGGUUCAGUGUUAUAGUUAAUCACUAUAGCGCGUAUUUCCAAUUAAAACAUCAUUGUAAGCGUACACUGCAACCAGUUAGACAAAUGGUCAUGGAAAUAGUCUUUAAUUUCUUCGGGAAUUAUUGGCGUCAAAUUUGUUUGUUCAUGUUAGUAGUAAUGUUUUGUGUAUUUAGGUACUACAUAGCGUUGCUGGAUAUGUUACAAGUGAGCUAUAACCAUAGACUGACUGGCAAAAUGAAAAUCACUCUAUCAUGAGUGUUUACAUAAAAUGCUAUUUGUUGUAUACAAGUCUACUUGUUUGACCAUUUGGUUUAAGCUCAACAUUUUUGAAUUUGGACUUGCUAGCUAUCAAUGGGGCAACUCUUGAUGUUAGUAUAGCUUCCAUCUAAUCAGGUGUUGACUUGAUCGGAUGUUGUUUAAAUAAGAAUCGUUUGGGCAUGUAUGCAAUCAAAUUAGCUAUUAUUGGCAGUGAGUAGGUCGGCUUUCCGAACGACCCGUCUUGAAACACGGACCAAG
rnacentral:rRNA from 1 species